UACGUAGGGGGCGAGCGUUGUUCGGAUUUACUGGGCGUAAAGAGCGCGUAGGCGGUUCGUUCAGUCGGAGGUGAAAGCCCUCGGCUCAACCGAGGAGUCGCGUCCGAGACGGGCGAACUUGAGUGCAGGAGAGGAGAGCGGAAUUCCCAGUGUAGCGGUGAAAUGCGUAGAUACUGGGAGGAACACCGGUGGCGAAGGCGGCUCUCUGGACUGCCACUGACGCUGAGGCGCGAAAGCUAGGGGAGCAAACGGG
rnacentral:rRNA from 1 species